rnacentral:rRNA from 1 species
GUGUCAGCAGCCGCGGUAAUACAGAGGGUGCAAGCGUUGUUCGGAAUCACUGGGCGUAAAGCGCGCGCAGGCGGGCUGACAAGUGGGGAGUGAAAUUCCGGGGCUCAACUCCGGACCUGCUUUCCAAACUGUCAACCUGGGGACCGGUAGAGGCUGGUAGAAUUCCCGGUGUAGCGGUGGAAUGCGUAGAGAUCGGGAAGAAUACCCGUGGCGAAGGCGGCCAGCUGGGCCGGAUCCGACGCUGAGGCGCGAAAGCGUGGGGAGCAAACAGGAUUAGAUACCCUGGUAGUCCACGCCGUAAACGAUGGGCACUAGGCGCUGGGGGGAGCGACCCCGUCGGUGCCGUAGCUAACGCGAUAAGUGCCCCGCCUGGGGAGUACGGCCGCAAGGCUGAA